rnacentral:tRNA from 1 species
ACCUGGGUGGCUCAGUCAGUUGAGCCACUGACUUUAGCUCAGGUCACGAUCUCACAGUUGGUGGGUUCGAGUCCCAUGUCAGGCU